GCGCAACACCGGGGGUGUGCCACAUGUGGCACUGAGAAAAACCCUUAUAACCUGCUCUGGAUAAUGCCUGCGGAGGGAGAGUGUUGUGCCGGUACG
rnacentral:ncRNA from 1 species